rnacentral:lncRNA from 1 species
CAAUGAGAAAAAUCGUAUUGAAGGGGAUGUCAGCAAACAUGGCAACGGUAAGGAUUCAACAAUGAGAAACAUCCAUACUGUAUAGUUGGCUUAUCAGGGGUGUGGAAAUGAUAUGCCUGACUCGCCCGACUCGUACAUUUGAACAACCGGACAAGUAAUUAUUUUUGUCUUGGUUGCCCGUGGACAAGUAAAAAAAUAUACAAGACAAAGUUCAAAUCCAACAAAAAUAUAGAAUAAAUUUCAAAACGUAUCAAGAUGUUUAAUUUAUUUAAAAGAAACCAAUGGUCAGCAAGUAAAAACAUCAAUGUUCAUGACGAUAAAUAUUGCAUAAUAACGGAAAUAGAUCGAUUACCAAAAUAAAUAAAAAUAAGUAUGCGAACCCGAGUCGCGUAACAUUGCAUUGGCUUUGUCCAUUGACCCGAGAUCGUCGAUUAGGUUUUAUCCAUCAUUCACCGGAAAUGUCAUUUCUUUAGAUUUUGUAUCGAUGUUCAGAUUGAUAAAUACUUAAUAAAACACCGGACAAGCAAGACAAAAAGAUGAAUGAGUCGAGUAGAAAACUUAAACGCAAAUGGAGGACAAGCAGCAUUAAAAAAAAAUACGGAAGCGAGAAUUUCAGACAUCGUGGAUAUCAGAUUGGCCCUGGCUAUCUAGGAUGGGAAAUAAAUAAAUUAAUGUUUUGUCUUAUUUGAAGAUGAAAUGUCAACAUUAUUUUUUGUCAAAGUGGUAAAUAGAAGGGACAAUUUUAUUGCCCAUCAAGACAAUAAUCAAGAAAAAACCAAGUGUGUCAGUUGAAAGAAACCCAAAAAAAAACCAAUAGUUUAUCGAUUAAUUAGUUUCCAUUUCUUUACUCACUGUCAUCAAAAUUAGUAUAUGUGUUCCAGACCGUAUGAGUAUUUGGACCGUACGCGUACGGUCUGGACCGUAUGAGUACUUUUUCAAAAUACGCAUACGGUCGGACCGUACGCGUACGGUCUGAUUAAUAUUAAGAAGUUAGUCAAGUUUAUUAGAUACAAAUGUAUAUAACAGAUCAGCAGAACUUAUGUCUCAAAUUAAUAUAAAAAGUUCAAUAGUAAUGGAAAUAAAAACUUAUUAUUUUAAGUAUUUAAAAUAAUCACGCUUAUUUAAUCUGUUAAUCUCCUGUAUUUAGCAUGUCAGUAAUUCGUUAACUGCAUGCAGCCCAUUAUGCUCAUUGAAAUUGAAGUUAUCGGAAGUAAACAUAAUGUGGGGAGACAAUUGUUAUAGAAUAUUUAGGAACUUUACAAAAAAAGACAAAGGAACAUGCAUGAACAAAUCAUGUUAAUGUAUUUAGAGAAAAUAUGACGUUCUUUGUGGUAUAUUUGUAGCAAGUGUCACCUUGGUCCAGAGUAACAAAAUAGGAUUCAGAUAUACAAUUAAACAAAUAUUUAAUGUCAAUUGUUCGCUUAUUCACUUUAUUCAUCUAUUUGUAAUAAUAACAAUUUGUAUAACUAAAAAUAAAGAUUUUGAUAAAUGUUUGUUUAAAUUUAACCCAUAUGAUCCCAAAACAUGUCUGCUCAGCUGGACCGUACGCGUAUGGUCGGACCGUACGAGUAUACGUAUACGGUCCGAACCGUACGCGUACGGUCCAAAUACUCAUAUGGUCUGGAACAUAUGCACAUGUACCUACUGGCUACAAUUUUUAUUCAAAAACUGCUGCAAAAUUGUCCUUUACAUGUCAUUUCAUUGGUUGGUUUGAUGUUAGGUUUCUGUCCCAUUGAUGUUAACCCAUUUCCUACUUUCCUAAAUUUUUACACAUAUAAUCAAAUGGAUUUCUUUGUUUGUGAUGCAAAACAGUGCUAAGAAUCAUAUAUAAGGCUUAGCUAACAAUGGAAUACUUCAAUAUUUAUUGGGACCAUCAGGACAAGUAACUUUUUUUCCGGACAAGUAAAAUUUACAGUUUUACUUGCCCAGGGACAAGUGCUCACAACAAAUAUUUCCACACCCCUGCUUAUAAAGGCCCCGACAUGAAAAAUGUGGAAUAA